rnacentral:rRNA from 1 species
GACGAACGCUGGCGGCGUGCUUAACACAUGCAAGUCGAACGGAAAGGCCCUGCUUUUGUGGGGUGCUCGAGUGGCGAACGGGUGAGUAACACGUGAGUAACCUGCCCUUGACUUUGGGAUAACUUCAGGAGACUGGGGCUAAUACCGGAUAGGAGCUCCUGCUGCAUGGUGGGGGUUGGAAAGUUUCGGCGGUUGGGGAUGGACUCGCGGCUUAUCAGCUUGUUGGUGGGGUAGUGGCGUACCAAGGCUUUGACGGGUAGCCGGCCUGAGAGGGUGACCGGCCACAUUGGGACUGAGAUACGGCCCAGACUCCUACGGGAGGCAGCAGUGGGGAAUAUUGCACAAUGGGCGGAAGCCUGAUGAAGCAACGCCGCGUGCGGGAUGACGGCCUUCGGGUUGUAAACCGCUUUCGCCUGUGACGAAGCGUGAGUGACGGUAAUGGGUAAAGAAGCACCGGCUAACUACGUG